AAAGACAGGUGGCUACCAGAAACCUACAACAAUAGCG
rnacentral:sRNA from 1 species